rnacentral:rRNA from 1 species
GACGAACGCUGGCGGCGUGCCUAAUACAUGCCAGUCGAGCGGACUUUCAAGAAGCUUGCUUUUUGAAAGUUAGCGGCGGACGGGUGAGUAACACGUGGGCAACCUGCCUGCAAGACGGGGAUAACUCCGGGAAACCGGGGCUAAUACCGGAUAAUAUCUUCCUUCGCAUGAAGGAAGGUUGAAAGGCGGCGCAAGCUGCCGCUUGCAGAUGGGCCCGCGGCGCAUUAGCUAGUUGGUGAGGUAACGGCUCACCAAGGCGACGAUGCGUAGCCGACCUGAGAGGGUGAUCGGCCACACUGGGACGGAGACACGGCCCAGACUCCUACGGGAGGCAGCAGUAGGGAAGCUUCCGCAAUGGACGAAAGUCUGACGGAGCAACGCCGCGUGAGCGAAGAAGGGCUUCGGAUCGGAAAGCUCGGUUGUCAGGGAAGAACAAGUACCGUUCGAACAGGGCGGUACCUUGACGGUACCUGACCAGAAAGCCACGGCUAACUACGUG